GGUCAACGUUCUCAUAGUAAAAAAUUCAGUCUAAUUUUUUAAUUUUUUUUGGAAGUUGACUGAGAGGAAUUACAAGGGGAAGUAUAUUGAUCCAGAUGCAAACAACACACUGUGCAUUAAGAUCUUCUAUAAGUCGAGGAGUGCUUAGAUAAAGUGACUUUGGGACAAAUACUGGAACCUGAGUGUCUUGUUUUAUCCCCAAAACCAAAGACAUUAAAGUGGGAAUCAAGCGUUCCCAUCGAGGAUUUUGAAUAUUUUCCAUCCUUGCAUCAAGCUCCUCCUGAACCAUGGUGUCGGGUACCCAAGACAGUCCUACAAAAUUCCAUCCAGUUUCACAUUCACGACUGUGAAGGCAAGCAUAAUCUAGAGGACAAU